UACGGAGGGUGCAAGCGUUAUCCGGAUUCACUGGGUUUAAAGGGUGCGUAGGUGGGCAUGUAAGUCAGUGGUGAAAUCUCCGUGCUUAACAUGGAAACUGCCAUUGAUACUAUGUUUCUUGAAUUUUCUGGAGGUUAGCGGAAUAUGUCAUGUAGCGGUGAAAUGCUUAGAUAUGACAUAGAACACCAAUUGCGAAGGCAGCUAGCUACAGGGAUAUUGACACUGAGGCACGAAAGCGUGGGGAUCAAACAGG
rnacentral:rRNA from 1 species